rnacentral:rRNA from 1 species
GGGGAAUAUUGCGCAAUGGGGGGAACCCUGACGCAGCCAUGCCGCGUGAAUGAAGAAGGCCUUCGGGUUGUAAAGUUCUUUCGGUAUUGAGGAAGGUUGAUGUGUUAAUAGCACAUCAAAUUGACGUUAAAUACAGAAGAAGCACCGGCUAACUCCGUGCCAGCAGCCGCGGUAAUACGGAGGGUGCGAGCGUUAAUCGGAAUAACUGGGCGUAAAGGGCACGCAGGCGGUUAUUUAAGUGAGGUGUGAAAGCCCCGGGCUUAACCUGGGAAUUGCAUUUCAGACUGGGUAACUAGAGUACUUUAGGGAGGGGUAGAAUUCCACGUGUAGCGGUGAAAUGCGUAGAGAUGUGGAGGAAUACCGAAGGCGAAAGCAGCCCCUUGGGAAUGUACUGACGCUCAUGUGCGAAAGCGUGGGGAGCAAACAGGAUUAGAUACCCUGGUAGUCCACGCUGUAAACGCUGUCGAUUUGGGGGUUGGGGUUUAACUCUGGCGCCCGUAGCUAACGUGAUAAAUCGACCGCCUGGGGAGUACGGCCGCAAGGUUA